AUAAUUUAUAAAUAAGUAGAAAGGUCUAAAAUAACAUUUUUGUUCAAAUUAAAAUAGAAUUCUACAUGAUGUAGUUGUUUUCAACUGUUAUCAAGUUACAAGACUGGUUUGGAUCUAAACACUAUCUCAUAAUACAACAAUCAAUACUGAUAAGACUAUGUGAUAAUUACUUUUAAGUUAGAUAUCUAAUUGAAUACUUUAUACAAUUAAAGAUUUUUCUUUCUCAA